UGUGAUCUACAGCACAAUCAUUGAUGCAAUUUGCAAACAGAGACAUGCUGAUGAUGCGCUCAACCUGUUCAACGAAAUGGAAAACAAAGGAGUUAGAGCCGAUGUUGUUACCUACAACUCCCUCAUAAGUUGCUUUUGUAAUUCCGGACGAUGGAGUGAUGCCUCUCGACUACUUCAUGAUAUGAUUGAGAGGAAAAUCAACCCCGAUGUAGUUACUUUCAGCACAUUGAUCGAUGCAUUUGUGAAGGAGGGGAAACUUGUAGAGGCAGAAAAAUUGUACGAGGAGAUGAUCAAAAGGUCUAUAGAUCCUGAUAUUUUAACGUACAGUUCAUUGAUCAAUGGGUUUUGCAUGCACGAUCGCCUAGACGAGGCUAAGCAGAUGUUUAAGUUCAUGGCUAGCAAGGAUUGUUCCCCCGAUGUUGUGACAUAUAGUACUCUGAUAAAAGGGUUCUGUAAGUCUAAGAGAGUAGAAGAGGGUAUGGAACUCUUCUGCGAGAUGUCUCGAAAAGGAUUGGUUGGAAACACAAUCACUUUCAACACUCUUAUCCAAGGGUUUUUUCAAGAUGGCGACUGUGAUAGUGCCCAAAAACUAUUCAAACAGAUGGUUUCUGGUGGUUUGCCUUGCUCUAUCAUGACAUACAGCAUUUUGUUAGACGGACUUUGUAAUAACGGCAAGCUAGAGACAGCAUUGGUCAUAUUCAAGGAUCUGCAAAAGAGUGGAAUAGAACUUGAUAUAGUUACAUAUAAUAUUAUGAUUGAAGGGAUGUGUAAGGCUGGGAAGGUGGAAGAAGGGUGGGAUUUAUUAUGUAGUCUCAGCCUUAAAGGAGUGAAGCCUAAUGUUGUAACCUACACUACAAUGAUCUCAGGAUUUUGUAGAAAAGGUUUGAAGGAGAAAGCGGAUGCCUUGUUCAGGAAAAUGAAAGAAGAUGGGCAUUUGCCAAAUGACCGUACCUAUAAUACGCUUAUUAGGGUACAUCUUAGAGAUGGUGACAAAGCAGAAUCAGCAGAACUCAUCAGGGAAAUGCGGAGUUGUGGGUUUGCUGGAGAUGCUUCAUCUUUUGGGUUGGUCACCAAUAUGUUGCAUGAUGGGAGAUUGGACAAAAGCUUUCUGGACAUGCUUUCCUAAAUUAGUUUCUGGAAAUUCGUUUGAUGCUUCACUCUCAAUUUCUUCAAAUGUUUAGUUGAGAUUGGAGGAACCGAAUUUUCCAUUAGAGGAUGUGUGAACUGUUCGUUAGCUUACAACCUGCAAUAACAUGUGCAUUCUCUGCUCUCCAAUCACAUAUAGUUCAGUUUACAGGAGGAAAUACUAAGAUUUGCUCAAGCUCCUAUUUAUAUGAUACAAAGGUUAAUUAUGAGGUUUCAUUUUUCUCAGAAACAAGAUGUGAACGUUUCAGAAUUCAAAGAAAAGCCUAGCUGCUUUUACUUGAAGGAGGACAAGAGUAGUUUUCUUGUAGAAUUAGCAUUUUUAUGUGACGCUGCUUUUACUUGUAUCUAGACGUGAGUAAUUUAUGCUUUCACUCUUACUUAGAAUUAGCAUUUUUAAUUGUCACACAUAUUUUUGCGUUUUGAAGUUUGAACAAGACACAAAUUCCGGUUUAUCCAGACCGAGUGAUUCAAUUGAAAAUUUUGAGAAAGGUAAUCUUCUUGGAACUGCUUCUGUUCUAAGAGGAAAUGGGUUGCAUGAUUUUAAUUUAGAAGCUUCUGCUGCUUAAGUAUAUUAUUGGCUGGCUUAUUAGUAAAUAUUACGUAUAUUAAAAAAAAAAAUUCCCAAAAAAAUACAUUAGAAAGAAAGACAUUAAAAACAAUAUGAAACAAAAUCGUAUAGAACUCAGAGUGAACCGGUCGGUUAGUAAAAUUGGAAAUGAUAAGAUCAAAUCUUGACCGUCAAAUACCAAAAAUGAUCCAACGGCGGUGCAAAAAUGAAAUCAGUCACUCUUUUCUCGUGAGUCUCUUUGGUAGAAAACCAGAAAUUGAGAAGAAACAAAAUCAGCUGAAGAAGAUGAGGAGAUUGUCUGCGAUUGCAUCGACGGGGAAUAGAUAUGCUCGUCGGAGUCUUCUUGAGAAAGGUAACCCUAGAACUGCUGCUUCGUCUUCGUUUAGCUAUUGUAGCUUAUGUUGUUACCGGGUACGAGCUUAUUCUAGCGUCAGUGGUGAUUACAGAGAGAAAUUGAGAACUGGGUUGAGUGAUAUGGAGUUAGAUGAUGUUGUUGAUAUGUUCAGUGUUAUGGUCAAGUCUCGUCCACGCCCUUCAAUCAUUGAUUUCAAUAAAUUGUUGAGUUCCAUUGCCAAAAUGAAGAAGCAUGCUGUUGUCAUCUCCUUGGGGGAGCAGAUGCAAAAGUUGGGAAUCCGUCAUGAUCUCUAUACUUACAGUAUUUUGAUUAAUUGUUUUUGUCGCUCCUCUCAAGUCUCUUUUGCUUUAGCUCUUCUUGGCAAGAUGAUGAAACUCGGUUAUGAACCCGAUAUUGUCACGCUUUCUUCGCUGCUCAAUGGUUUCUGCCACGGUAAGAGGAUAUCCGAGGCUGUAGCUUUGGUUGAUCAAAUGGUGGAAAUGGGAUAUCAACCUAAUACUGUUACAUUUACAACUUUGAUUCAUGGACUUUUUCUCCACAACAAAGCUUCCGAAGCAGUGGCUUUAGUUGAUCGAAUGGUUGUAAAGGGCUGUCAACCAGAUCUGUUUACUUAUGGUGCUGUUGUAAAUGGACUAUGUAAGAGAGGUGAUAUUGAUUUAGCUUUAAAUCUGCUGAAGAAAAUGGAAGCGAGUAAGAUAGAGAUAAAUAUAGUAAUCUACAGCACAGUUAUUGAUGGAAUUUGCAAACACAGACAUGCGAAUGAUGCGGUCAACCUGUUCAAGGAAAUGGAAAACAAAGGAAUUAGAGCCGAUGUUGUUACCUACAACUCCCUCAUAAGUUGCUUUUGUAAUUACGGACGAUGGAGUGAUGCCUCUCGACUACUUAGUGAUAUGAUUGAGAGGAAAAUCAACCCC
rnacentral:lncRNA from 1 species